GAUGAAGAACGUAGCGAAAUGCGAUAAGUAAUGUGAAUUGCAGAAUUCAGUGAAUCAUCGAAUCUUUGAACGCACAUUGCGCCCGCCAGUAUUCUGGCGGGCAUGCCUGUUCGAGCGUCAUUACAACCCUCAGGCCCCCGGGCCUGGCGUUGGGGAUCGGCGGAGCCCCCCGUGGGCACACGCCGUCCCCCAAAUGCAGUGGCGGUCCCGCCGCAGCUUCCAUCGCGUAGUAGCUAACACCUCGCGACUGGAGAGCGGCGCGGCCACGCCGUAAAACUCCCCAAUCUCAAGAGUUGACCUCGGAUCAGGUAGGGAUACCCGCUGAACUUAAGCAUAUCAAUAAGCGGAGGA
rnacentral:misc_RNA from 1 species